AUGCGGCUGGUCGGCCUGACGGGCGGGAUCGCCUCGGGGAAGAGCACCGUCUCCGGCCUCUUCAAGUCCGCCGGCGUCCCGGUGGUCGACGCCGACGUCGUGGCUCGGAAUGUAGUGCAGAAAGGUACUGGAGGUUGGAAGAAGAUUGUGAAAGCUUUUGGGAAUGGCAUUCUGUUGGAAAAUGGAGAAAUUGACAGAGCUCAAUUGGGUCAGGUUGUUUUCACUGACCCAGAAAAACGCAAGCUUCUAAACCGUCUUCUGGCCCCACACAUUUCAUGCGGUAUAUUCUGGGAGAUACUAAAACUCUGGGUGAAGGGAUGCCUGGUUAUUGUCGUCGACAUCCCGCUCCUGUUUGAGACAAAGAUGGACCGAUGGACGGACCCCGUGGUUGUCGUAUGGGUGGAUCCCAAAACACAGAUCGAGAGGCUCAUGUCAAGAGACAGUUGCGGCCAGGAACAGGCUCAGGGCAGGAUCGACGCCCAGCUUGCGUUGGACUGGAAGAAGUCGGAAGCCGACAUAGUGAUCGACAACUCCGGCUCGCUGGACGACACGAAAGAGCAGUUCCAGGAAGUGCUGAAGCAGGUGUCUGGUCCCUUGACAUGGAAGGAGCGCAUGAUGUCCAGGGAUGGCCUUCUCUCUAUCGUCGUGUGCACGGCGGCGGGGGUUCUACUUGCUCAGAAGAAUCUGCUGUGA
rnacentral:rRNA from 1 species